AGAUUAUUCCCUCCACUGUUUGUACAGACACAGCCCUCUUCUGUCUGCAAUGAUAACUGCCACACGGGUUCUAGAAAAUCAAAGAAGGAAGGGAAGCCUUUUUAUUGCUAUGAUUGCAGCCCAUGUCCAGAAGGGAGAUUUCAAAUCAGACAGGUGAG